UACGUAGGGGGCAAGCGUUAUCCGGAAUUACUGGGUGUAAAGGGAGCGUAGACGGUAAAGCAAGUCUGGAGUGAAAGGCCGGGGCCCAACCCCGGGACUGCUCUGGAAACUGUUAAACUGGAGUGCAGGAGAGGCAGGCGGAAUUCCUAGUGUAGCGGUGAAAUGCGUAGAUAUUAGGAGGAACACCAGUGGCGAAGGCGGCCUGCUGGACUGUAACUGACGUUGAGGCUCGAAAGCGUG
rnacentral:rRNA from 1 species